rnacentral:lncRNA from 1 species
AGAGUACCAAAAUGGGAUUCAGAUAUAAAAUUAAACAAAUACUUCAUUUCAAUUGUUCGUUUGUUCAUUUUAUCUAUCUAAUUGUAAUAAAUUAUCAAUAACAAUUUGUAAAACUAAAAAUAAAGAUUGUGAUAAAUGCUUGUUUCAAUUUAACCCAUAUGAUUAAAUAACAUGUAUGGUCAGCUCGUACUGGACCGUAUGCGUAUACUCAUACGGUCCGACCGUACGCGUAUGGUCGGACCGUACGAGUAUACGUAUACGGUCCGGACCGUACGCG